rnacentral:rRNA from 1 species
GGUAACAGGAAGCAGCUUGCUGCUUCGCUGACGAGUGGCGGACGGGUGAGUAAUGUCUGGGAAACUGCCUGAUGGAGGGGGAUAACUACUGGAAACGGUGGCUAAUACCGCAUAACGUCGCAAGACCAAAGAGGGGGACCUUCGGGCCUCUUGCCAUCAGAUGUGCCCAGAUGGGAUUAGCUUGUUGGUGAGGUAACGGCUCACCAAGGCGACGAUCCCUAGCUGGUCUGAGAGGAUGACCAGCCACACUGGAACUGAGACACGGUCCAGACUCCUACGGGAGGCAGCAGUGGGGAAUAUUGCACAAUGGGCGCAAGCCUGAUGCAGCCAUGCCGCGUGUAUGAAGAAGGCCUUCGGGUUGUAAAGUACUU